CUCAACCGUAAGGAGGGGGAUGCCUAAGGCAGGGCUAGUGACUGGGGUGAAGUCGUAACAAGGUAGCCGUACCGGAAGGUGUGGCUGGAUCACCUCCUUAAAGGGAGACCUAAUUCGGGUAUAAGACGAAAAAAUAGUAGUCGAAACCAAGAAUCAAUCCCAAAAGGUCGGAACGAGGUAUGUGGCUUUCAAACUAGGUUCUGGGUUCACACAAGACCUGAAUCAGGAACAAGGGCUAUUAGCUCAGGUGGUUAGAGCGCACCCCUGAUAAGGGUGAGGUCCCUGGUUCGAGUCCAGGAUGGCCCACCUGCCCAGGUGGCAAAAACAAAGAAGAGAGGCUCCGAAUCAGCACCUUAUCUUAUCUAUAGAUAAGAGAGAAUGCUGGCUCUGAGUUCAGAGUCCAGAGGAACCUUGAAAACUGCAUAGAGCUAGGUGAAAAAGCCAAAAAAGAAGACCGCAAGGUCAAGCUAAUAAGGGCUAACGGUG
rnacentral:sRNA from 1 species